rnacentral:tRNA from 1 species
UCUCUGGUGGUCCAGUGGCUAAGAUUCCUCACUCCCAAUGCAGGGGGCCUGGGUUCAAUCCCUGGUCAGGGAA